UUCUGUAUCACCGUAAGAAACAUUUCCUUGAAACUUGGGAAGUUUCUUUCGUUGGCUGAUGCCAACAUACACACGAUAGCCAGCCAUGCUAUAGUCUGUGUAGUAGUAUAGUGUUUUCAAGUUGACAGCCCUAGAAAGAUGUUGGCGAAGAAAUAGCUCUUCCAAGUGGUGGACGAUUUUGAAUUCAGCAAGGAGUAUUUGGGAACUCUACUCUUUACCCAAGAUUGAUGAUGAAGCACACAGGAAGAACUGCCUUAAUUCCCCUGCAUACCUUACCAACUAUGAGGAGUCCUUAUGCUGCAGAAUGGAUAUGGACAAUGCAGCAAAUAGCAACAUUUCUGCCCCCUGCCAAGAAUCUUGCUCUCUG